CGCACAUUGCGCCCUAUGGUAUUCCGUAGGGCAUGCUUGUUCGAGCGUCAUAUAACCCCUCAAGCUUUGCUUGGUGUUGGGCGUUGUCAGUUGACUCGCCCCAAAUACAUUGGCCGCCGGCAGAUCGGUGUAGAGCGCAGCACAUUGCACUCCCACAGGUCCUGUUGGCGAUCCAAAAGCCAUACAUACCUCGUUUGACCUCGAAUCAAGUAGGGAUACCCGCUGAACUUAA
rnacentral:misc_RNA from 1 species